CCAACUAAAAAAAAAUAAAUAAAAUAAAAUAGGGUGAUCAUUUCAAAGUGUUUAUCACAGCAUAAUUUUAUAAGACAGCAUAUUUUCCAAAUACCAUCAUUGUCACCAAACUCCUGCAAGGGACAGUCAUCUCAUCUGGGGACCAUCUUCUCCUCAGGCAUCCCAUGCCAGUGCUUGCUAUAUAGUAGCAGACAUGCAAAUACCGUCCUCCCUCUGCUGAUGAAAACUAGCCCAGCCCUGACUCUGCAGCUCUGGGAGAGGAGCCCCAGCCUGGGAUUCCCAGUAGUUUCCACUUGGUGAUCAGCACUCAACACAGACUACCAAGCAUGGAAUUUGGGCUGAGCUGGGUUUUCCUUGUGGCUAUUUUGAAAGGUGUCCAGUGUGAGGUGCAGCUGGUGGAGUAUGGGGGAGGUUUGGUACAGCCUGGGGGGUCCCUGAGACAUUCCUGUGGAUUCACCUUCAGUGACCACUACAUGAGCUGGGUCCACCCGGCUCCAGGAAAGGGGCUGGAGUGGGUAGGUUUCAUGAGAAACAAAGCUAAUGGUGGGAGAACAGAAUACGCUGCGUCUGUGAAAGGCAGAUUCACUAUCUCAAGAGACGAUUCCAAAAGCAUUGCCAGUCUGCAAAUGAGCAGCCUGAACACCGAGGACACAGUCCUGUAUUACUGUGCCAGAAACACAGUGAGGGGAACUCAGUGUGGGCCCAGAAACAAACCUCCCUGCAGGGGCGUGCAGAUCCCCCAGGGGGCGCUCGGGACCCACUGAGGACGGGACAGGUCCCAGGAGCAGGUGCAGGGAGAGGUUUCCUUUCUCAUUAGCUGGAGAAGUCAGGUUUGUGUUUGCAGGACUCUGAAGAAUUCUAGGCUGUGACGUUUUAUUACUUGUAUUUAUUAUGAAUUUAUUAUCAUUAGUA